rnacentral:lncRNA from 1 species
UUGAGAAGGACUUGGGGCAGGACCCUGAGAUUGUGACCUCAGCCAAAACCAUGACUCGGAUGCUUAACUGACUGUGCCACCCAGGCGCCCCAGACCUAAUCUUUUAAUCAUUUUUAUUUCUCUCUAGCAUUGAAUAGGAUGGCAGUUAAGCUUAACCAAUUUCAGUGUGGAGUCUACAGAUUUUCACGUAUUAUUAAAUUGAAUUAAUUCAUGGAAUUAUAGACCACAGGUCUGGAUGUUUAGUGGAACAUCUGCAAAGUGUUUAAUGGGUUAGGGUACUGUAGAAGAGGAUUAGAAUUGUAGAAGAUAAUCAACCUCUAAUCCAUUUUGAAAGCAUUCUUCAAAUUGUAGGUAUUUUAAAAUCAAUAACAAUAAUGAUUCACAGUGACCUCAAUUAAAAAAAUGUCUUGCUCUUCCUGCCAAAAUUAAAAUCUUAUAUAUUUCAGGUUGCUCAUAAAGACUUUAACAACAUGGAAUAACCUAGCAAUAGUAACAGGUGGGAUUCCAAUUUUUAAAGUGCUACUAAUGCAAUAAUUUAUUUAAAGUUAUUCUUUGUACCUCACAAGGGCUCAAGGUUGUUUACAAGAAAGUACAGUAGAUUAGAAGGAAGAAGAUUUGGGUCAGCUUCCAUAUCAUUACUUAACUAGAUUCUUGACUUAUAGUAAAUCACUUAAUAUCCUUGAGCUGCUGUUUCCUUGUGUAGACCCCUACCUCAUUUAGCUCAUCUGUUAGGCUGGCUUCCUGCAACAGUGCCCAACACACUGCAAGCAUGCAGCUAAUAUUUGCCGGCUGACCUAACAACAUUGGUUGGACACAAAAAUAAAAUAUUGUCAUGCAUACCUCAGAUGUGUUGCCAGGAGGUUAAAAUGAUAAACUGGUAUAAUAUGUGGAAAAAUGGUUUGAGAACCAUAUAAGGCUAUAUAGACACACAGUGCGUUUCUUUUUACAAAUGGAGGAAGAUGUUCUUUUUCCAUUUUUCAAGUGUGGAUACAUUUUUGGUACCUCACUUGAAAUUAAGAUAAAUGUGUUAAUAACUGCAAGUUAUUUCAAAUCAUAAAGCUUAUAAAUCUACACAUAUGCUGAGAAAAAUAAGCCAUAUAUACCUAAAGCUUCAGAGAACUUCAAUGAUUGCUUAAGAUUAAUGGGACUUUAGAGAUAAAAUACCUGUGAUUUUCAAUAGUGCGGUAAACUCUUCAGACAAGUUCAGAUUAAAAAGUCAAAGGUGAACUCCCUAUAACAGUCAUAAUCUAUAAUAGCUUUACUGUAUUUUAAAGAGAGAUUUACAGGUACUAACACUUAAGGUCUAAGAUACAGUUAGGUGAAAAAUGCAAACUAGACAUUUAUAUUUUCAUAAAGAGAAACGAACCUGUAUUAUCUUCCGAUGUUCAAAUAUAUGUGUAUGAAUAUCUUGAAAAAGGCUGAGAAGGUACAUACCUAAUUAUAAUAAUGAUAACAGUGAGGAUGGGAGUGGAACUGCAGAAGGGCGGGAAGGGACUUUGGCUUUAUUGGUAUUGUCUGGAAUGUGAUAAUAUCAGGAAUGUGAAAAAACAGACAAGAGCAUAUGACCAAGUCACAGAAUCUCUGGAGCCUUAUUUAAAUAUUGAAGAUGGAAGGUGUUCUUUCAUGGAGUAGGUGAAAUAGUUUUCCUACAGAGCAGAAAGGCUCAGUGGCUGACUGCAAACCGAUACCUAACAUUAAAUAUGAUACAAAAAAAAAAAACAAAAAA